rnacentral:rRNA from 1 species
AUGCACCUCCUGCAAGUCGUCGCUGAUGGCUCCCGCCGGUCGUCGGUGAUAUCUCCUGCGUUGUUGUCCUCGAUGGCAAGAAGCGACGCUGCAAACUCUGCUCGCCCACCGUCCCAUGCCGCGAGGACGGCGUGUUACCUCGACGGGUUACAAAGGCCGUCGCGGUGCAGUAGGGCGAGCGAGGGGCAUCUUCCAUCGUGUCGUGACGACGGCGAGGAUCGAGGAUUAUCUUCGUUUUCAUAUGGUGUUGGCAAACGAGCAAAAGGAGAUGAGACCAUCGAUCGGGCGACGCCGAUGAAGGUGUUCGCGACCACGUUCGUAUGGUGGGCGGCGACGACAACACUAAGCUUCAUGGAGACGGCGUACGCAUAUGAAGCAGAAAUCACGACCGGGUUCCAUGGUGGCGUCCACAUGAUGGCGGGACAUUCGACGGGCCCUUUGGCACGCUUGCGCAGGCCUUCUCGCCUAUCGACGGGCGGUUCCACCUGGAUGCAGCUGCUGCGGAAGGAGGCGCUGCGGGGGCAGGAGGUGCUCGACGCCACGAGCAACCCCUCCGACGUCGUCGGGUCGGCCAAAAAUUUCAAGCAGGCGUCAAAGCCCUGA